rnacentral:rRNA from 1 species
CGUGGAUGACCAAAUUGCGGCCUAUGCCCUCUUUGUAAGAAAACUGAGGAACCGGUGGACCACCUCUUCUUCAUGUGUUGGUUCACUAAGUGACUUUGGGGCAUGAUCAAAGCGUGGCUCAACCUCGACGACAUGGACACUUCUCGUUGGAGUGUGGAACGUUUCAUCAAGGAUUGGUGGAUCAAUAUAUCCGGGAAGAAUAUGGCAAACCGGAAGGCGAUGACGUCCCUCACCAUGCUCACUUGUUGGGCCAUUUGGUGUGAACGAAAUGCUAGGGUGUUUCAACAUAAAUCCACACAUCCGUCCAUAAUCCUCUCCAACAUCAAGAUUGAGGCUAGGCUUUGCGUCAGCACUUGGGAAACAUAA